UCCUACGGGAGGCAGCAGUGGGGAAUUUUGGACAAUGGGGGCAACCCUGAUCCAGCCAUUCCGCGUGAGUGAAGAAGGCCUUCGGGUUGUAAAACUCUUUCAGCAGGAACGAAACGGUGAGCUCUAACAUAGCUUGCUAAUGACGGUACCUGAAGAAGAAGCACCGGCUAACUACGUGCCAGCAGCCGCGGUAAUACGUAGGGUGCGAGCGUUAAUCGGAAUUACUGGGCGUAAAGCGUGCGCAGGCGGUUUUGUAAGACAGAUGUGAAAUCCCUGGGCUUAACCUAGGAACUGCGUUUGUGACUGCAAGACUUGAGUGUGGCAGAGGGGGGUGGAAUUCCACGUGUAGCAGUGAAAUGCGUAGAGAUGUGGAGGAACACCGAUGGCGAAGGCAGCCCCCUGGGUUAACACUGACGCUCAUGCACGAAAGCGUGGGUAGCAAACAGGAUUAGAUACCCGGGUAGUCCAAGCCG
rnacentral:rRNA from 1 species